AUUGAACGCUGGCGGCAUGCCUUACACAUGCAAGUCGAACGGCAGCACGGGGGCAACCUGGUGGCGAGUGGCGAACGGGUGAGUAAUAUAUCGGAACGUACCCUAGAGUGGGGGAUAACGUAGCGAAAGUUACGCUAAUACCGCAUACGAUCUACGGAUGAAAGCGGGGGAUCGCAAGACCUCGCGCUCAUGGAGCGGCCGAUAUCUGAUUAGCUAGUUGGUAGGGUAAAAGCCUACCAAGGCAUCGAUCAGUAGCUGGUCUGAGAGGACGACCAGCCACACUGGGACUGAGACACGGCCCAGACUCCUACGGGAGGCAGCAGUGGGGAAUUUUGGACAAUGGGGGCAACCCUGAUCCAGCAAUGCCGCGUGAGUGAAGAAGGCCUUCGGGUUGUAAAGCUCUUUUGUCAGGGAAGAAACGGUUCGGGUUAAUACCUUGGACUAAUGACGGUACCUGAAGAAUAAGCACCGGCUAACUACGUGC
rnacentral:rRNA from 1 species